UCCCGCUCUCCCAUCGAAUGGUCGCUGUCUCUCGCUCUCUCUCGUAUAACCGAGAGGAGAUUUUGAGGAAAGAGAUUCCGUGGUGACAUUCCAGGACGAAAUUCUUUAAGAACGCAUAAGAAUAGGUUCUGCAACGGGAUUGUUCUACCCUCGUUCACCUUCGGAAAGCUGAGUUCCUGUUUGGGCUGAAAGGAAAAGAAAAGUUUUGAUUAAAUUUAUGGAGUUCAGCGUAAGCUUAUCUCCCGAUUGUGUUGCAACAUGUGGGAGAAUGAAGAGAAAUUAAUUAUCUUCCUGUUGCUCCGCUCCGCUGCUUCUCACCCACCCGAUCCUGGAAACGGAUCUUUCUCGUGUAUACAUCAACACACCUCUGCCUCUGCUGUGACUCUGCCGUGGUGUCUCUGUUGGUCGAGGUGCUGGUGUGAUGGGAGCUGGUGCUGGCUCUUCGAUCGAGAGACUCUCGUACAGCACCUGCAGGGCCUCCUCUUCCUCACUCUCUUCACCUCCGACGGCUCCUUCUUCUUUUUUCUCUCCAACGGCUUCUUCUUCUUUUUCACCGCCAAUGGCUCCUUCUUCUCUCGGGACUGCCUGGACUGCUUCGUUGAGUUGAUGUCGUCUGGGGCCGUGCAACAGCCCCCUGGUGAUUCGGAAGUCGCCGUUAGGUGCGUUUCUUAGCCUGUUGAAUUCAGCUAUCUCAGCCGUUGUCGGGAAAUAAGUUCGUGGUGGAGGGUCAUAUGCGGCGAAUCUGGCAAAGACCCGUUAAUGAUUGAUUGCCAGCUGUUCAGGUGAUAGAGACGAAAUGACUGGAUCGUUUGACGGGACCGCGUGUAGCAAAUGCUGCUACAUGCGGCUAUUUCUACGUUUUUCCUUGUUAAGAGCCGCCUGUUUCAAGUAAUAAUUGUUAUGAAACAGAAUGUCUUUAUCGUAAAGUUUUUUUGCCAAUUCCAAAUGGGCGAGCAAGUUGGCAUG